rnacentral:rRNA from 1 species
ACGAACGCUGGCGGCGUGCCUAAUACAUGCAAGUCGAGCGGAAUGAUGAAGAAGCUUGCUUCUUCUGAUUUUAGCGGCGGACGGGUGAGUAACACGUGGGCAACCUACCUUGUAGAUUGGGAUAACUCCGGGAAACCGGGGCUAAUACCGAAUAAUCCAUUUCGCUUCAUGGCGAGAUGUUGAAAGACGGUUUCGGCUGUCACUACAAGAUGGGCCCGCGGCGCAUUAGCUAGUUGGUAGGGUAAUGGCCUACCAAGGCGACGAUGCGUAGCCGACCUGAGAGGGUGAUCGGCCACACUGGGACUGAGACACGGCCCAGACUCCUACGGGAGGCAGCAGUAGGGAAUCUUCCACAAUGGACGAAAGUCUGAUGGAGCAACGCCGCGUGAGUGAAGAAGGUUUUCGGAUCGUAAAACUCUGUUGUAAGGGAAGAACACGUACGAGAGUAACUGCUCGUACCUUGACGGGUACCUUAUUAGAAAGCCACGGCUAACUACGUG